rnacentral:rRNA from 1 species
UGGGGAAUUUUGGACAAUGGGCGCAAGCCUGAUCCAGCCAUUCCGCGUGAGUGAAGAAGGCCUUCGGGUUGUAAAGCUCUUUCGCAAGGGAAGAAAACUUACCCUCUAACAUAGGGUGAGGUUGACGGUACCUUGAUAAGAAGCACCGGCUAACUACGUG